AGACCCUGGUACAUAUUUAACGUACAUCACCGAGCUUGCAACUCAGUAUGAAUUUCACCACAGAGUC
rnacentral:tRNA from 1 species